rnacentral:lncRNA from 1 species
AUUAAAAGCAUUCUCUCAGUCACAGACACGGUACUUAUUAUGUAGUUUGUGAUCGUCUGUUUCUCUGAAACAUUGCGUUAUUCACCCCUGAUCUGGCUCGUCAUCUGUUUUGAUCAUCCUCCUUUGCUAUCUUCCUCAGCCCAGUCUGACAGUGAUUCCUGCAGUCAUCAAAGAGAGAGACUCAGUUCAGCUGAACUGUCAGACUCCAUCUGUCUCUGAGUGUUACUUCAAAAUGGAAGGGCAAGUGGAAUUCACCCUACCAUCACCCUGUCAACAUGAACUCACAGGAACACUACUGGUGAGGUGGACAGGUCAGAGUUCACCAGCUGAGGUCAAAAUACAAUGUCAGUACAGUGCUACAGGUUCACAGUUUAGAUCCAUGUUCAGUGAGCCUUCAACAGUCACAAUUCAGGACAUUCCUCAGCUGACAGUGAGUUCUACAGUCAUCAGAGAGACAGAAUCAGUUCAGCUGAGUUGUGAGACUCCUCCAUCUCGCCAUGUGUCUAACUGUUACUUCUACAUAGAGGUGGGGAAGAAUUUUCCAGGGUCAUUGUGUACGCAGACAAUAACAGGAACUGAGCUGCUGAAGAGGGCAGGUCCAACAUUUCCAGCUGUGGUCAAAGUGAAAUGUUACUAUGCUGUAGGGAGGUCUCACACAUCUCCUUUAAGUAACCCUGUCUCAGUCACUGUUCAGGAUCCAAAACCAGACAUUACAGUCCAAUUUGAUGAGGACUUCACCAUCAUCUGUUUGAUUCCUGGAUCGGUCAGUCCUGACAGCACCUGUAACCUGUAUGUUGGAGAGGAGAGUCAGCCAUCCUUCACAGCAAAGACCAAGAAGAGACAAUCCACCUCAGCACCCAGACAGGAGUUCUGUCAAUUCACUCCAAAUCAUAGUGAUCUGAUCAGUGGUCUACAGUCAGUGAGGAGUAAGGAGGUGAGCUGUGAUUACAGAGUGAGCUCUGGACCAAACUCUCUCUCUCCACGCAGUGAUGGGUACAGCUUUACAGAUCUGGUGGGAGUUCACAUCAGUGAUCCAACAACUGUACAGACACCUUCUAUAGCAGUGGGUUUGACUCCAGGUCCUAGAUCUACUUUGCCUCCCAGCAAGACAGUGAGUCCUACAGAAGUUUCAACUGUUACUUCUACCUUUACCCCAGACACCACAGUGACACCAACUACCAGGUCGACUGUUUGCUGUACUUUUACCACUGACACCCCAGCGAGUCCAACUGAAAGAGUUCAAAGCUCCACAGAAAGUGAUGUGGAAUCAAACAGUCAAGAAAGCAUUCUGGUGGGGCAAUUAUGGCAGGCAGCAGUGGCUUCUGGAGUGGGCGUGCUCCUGGUAGGAUUGACAGCUGUCAGUCUCUGCAGGAGGACCAAGAAAACCAAUUCUCAGAGACCUACAGCCAGACAGGAUGAUCACAGACAAUAUGAAUUGGUGUCUAUGGGAGCGGUGAGCAGAGGAAUCAUGGUGGAUUCAGGAGAUGCUGGAAUCGAUUCUCAGAUCACUUCUGUACUGUUCACGUUCACGCCCUCAGGUAACGUUGAUGUGGAUACACAGGCAUUUGCAAAUAAACAUGUAAGUACAGCACAAAUAAUUGCAUGGAGUAUUCUUAUAUCGGUUGUACUAUUCAUUGUAUUAUAUUGUUAUAUUAUUAUUAUUAUUUAUAGCAUUGUUUUCACAGACAGACGGACUCGAGGAUACAAGUAUCUCUCUUUCUCUCACUGUGAUUUGACUUUCAGUUUAAGAUUGGUCUUACAUCCUCAUAAAAUACCCCUUAUGAAUUACAUUAACUGUACUGUAGAUUCGAAGCCCUAAAGUGAAUCUGUUUCUUUCCUCUAGUCUGACACUUACCAUGUAUACAGCUCAAUCCCCGACAGACCAGCAACCUCAGCCCAGCCGGAUGGGUUGUACAGUCUUCUGCAGACACACUGACACUACACCUCUGGCUUUCUGUAGCUAUGUCUCACACAAAUACAUUCUAUCUCACACGACAUCCAUUGUUUAUCACACAUCCAGUUACUGUAAAUAAGUUGCUUAACAGGUAAUAUAUCUACUGUAUUACACAUAGACAACUGGUUUCUGUUACAUGUCUAUCCAUAAUAUCUGUUACUGUGUUAAUAUAUAUAUAUAUUAUUUUUUAGGGGUCCAGGGGCAUAGUCCCCUUUGAGCAUUUUUCUUAUUUCUUUCCCCUAGUUAAUGCUAAAUCUACUGUAUUUAUGUAUUUUACGUUGACUGUGUGAUACCUCCUUCCAUAGCGGUUGGAUACAAUUAAUUUCCUGUUGGGCAAAACAUAAUCCAAAACACAACCAAAACAAACUGCAAAUGCAUCCAACAAGUUUGUUGAGUCACAAGCUUGAUGUAUUUAUUGGGUGCAAAGAAUCAAGGACCAAAAUACAAAAUGUUUGACUACCUUAAUACACUAUAAAUGAGUUUGUCCAAAUACUUGUGACUUUUUCAAAUGUGGGGACUAUAUAGAUAAAGUGCAUUUAUAUCAAAACGGUAAAACAUACAAUGCCUUCAGAAAGUCUUCACACCCCUUGACGAUUUCCACAUUUUGUUGUGUUACAGCCUGAAUUUAAAAUGUAUGAAAUUGAGAUUUUUUUUUGUAACUGGCCUACACACAAUACCCCAUAUCGGGGUGGCAGGUAAUCCAGUGGUUAGACCGUUGGACUAGUAAUCGAAAGGUUGCAAGAUCGAAUUCCCGAGCUGACAAGGUAAAAAUCUGCCGUUCUGUCCCUGAACAAGGCAGUUAACCCACUGUUCCUAGGCCGUCAUUGAAAAUAAGAAUUUGUUCUUAACUGACUUGCCUAGUUAAAUAAAGGUAAGGUCAAAGUGGAAUUAUGUAAAAAAAAAAAGAGUGUCAUUGAGUAUUUAACCCCUUUGUUUUGGAAAUCCAAAAUAAGUUCAGAAGUAAAAUUCUGCUUAACAAGUCGCAUAAUAUGUUGCAUGGACUCACUCUGUGUGCAAUAAUAGUGUUUAACAUGAUUUUUUAAUGGCCUCAUCUCUGUACCCCACACUUAUAAUUAUCUGUAAAGUCCAUCAGUCACGUAGUGAAUUUCAAACAUAGAUUCAACCAAAAAAACAGGGAGGUUGUCUAAUGCCUCACAAAGAAGGAAACUUAUUGUUUAAAAAAAGCAGACAUUGAAUAUCCCUUUGAGUAAGGUGAAGUUAUUAAUGGAUGGUUUAUCAAUAUACCCAGUCACAACAAAGAUAACGGCAUCAUUCCUAACUUAGUUGCCGAAGAGGAAGAAACCUGCUCAGAGUUUUCACCAUGAGGCCAAUGGUGACCUUAAAGCAGUUACAGAGUUUAAUGACGCUCAGCAGCACCUUCUCCACGCUGCUCUUCGUCGUCCUUCUCGCCUUCCUGUGGAGGAACUGGGAGGUCAUCUCGCAGUACCUGGAUCCCCUCCUGAUGUCCCCGAGUCGACCUACACGGGUGGG